AAAGUCGUAACAAGGUUUCCGUAGGUGAACCUGCGGAAGGAUCAUUAACACGUAUCCAUACGUAUUAUAUACCAAACCGUGAACUUGUUUGUAAAUGAGAAAGGUGUGGAUUCGGUACUUUAUGUAUCGAGGAAGCAUCUUUGUAUCUUAUUUCAACCUAUAAACCACUUGUAACCAAUUGUACUAAAACCUAAGAACUAUGAUUGUAACGAUCAUAUUCUGUAUUUACGAAACGUAAAAACAAUUCUUAGCAACGGAUAUCUUGGUUCUC
rnacentral:misc_RNA from 1 species